GAUGAAGAACGUAGUGAAAUGCGAUACUUGGUGUGAAUUGCAGAAUCCCGUGAACCAUCGAGUCUUUGAACGCAAGUUGCGCCCGAAGCCAUUAGGCCGAGGGCACGCCUGCCUGGGUGUCACACGUCGUUGCCCCCCCAUCUACUCCUUCGGGAUUGCGGGGGGCGGAUGAUGGCCUCCCGUGCGCCUCGUCGCGCGGUUGGCCUAAAUGCCAAGUCCUCGGCGACGCACGCCACGACAAUCGGUGGUUGCGAAACCUCGGUUGCCCGUCGUGUGCGGUCGUCGCGCAUCGAGGGCUCGAAAAAAUUGCCGGGCUUCGGCUCGACUUUCAACGCGACCCCAGGUCAGGCGGGGUUACCCGCUGAAUUUAAGCAUAUCAAUAAGCGGAGGA
rnacentral:misc_RNA from 1 species